GUACAGAUUUUUAUAUACUUUUAUCUUUUAACACAUUUGAGGGCCAGCGGAUCAGAGUGAGUCAGGUUUCUGUGAUCUUUUUUUGCCAGAAAUAUCCUUUGUCUUAUUAACUAUGCUCCUCUAAGUACCGUCAGCUAUUAUUUCCGAUAUUUUCCAUCUAAAUGUCAUGUAAAAGACGAAAAAUAUUGACAUUGAAGUGAUAUGAUGCCAAGAACACGGGCUGUUGAAGGAUGGAUGGUGUAUUUUUCAAAGUUAAUGACGAUUAAGUUGCAAUUAAUUCCAUUCUGGAUUUUUUUUGUAAUGAUAGUGACAUUGAAUUAGGUGUUAGCAGUGAUAAUAGUAUUAGUGAGAAAAGUGAGGUUAUGAAAUAUAAUAAUAACAAGCUGGUGAGCAUUAAAUAGUUUAAGUAAUCGUAAUUGUUCCUUAGAUGUUUCUCUCUACUUCAGCCUUUAAAUUAUUGGGCUAUGUGAAUUAGUUUAGGACUUAUGACCUGUUUUUUUGUUAAAAAGGGUUUGUCUUGAAACUGGCUUGUCGUCAAAGUGCUAAUUUAGAUUUCAGUGUGUAGGAAUUCGAUAAUAUAUGUUGCACAUGACUGCGUAAAAAUAACGUUUUUUCCCAGUGGGACAAAACUAAUUUAAAACAAUAUUAAAAUCAGCAUAGUUUAUUCAAAAUAUUUCAAAGAGCACUUCUGGGAAGAUAAAACGUUGUGAUACAGGCUUCAACACAUGAUGGCCCACCCUUUUCGAAAUGUCAACAAGUUUACCGACGUUUCAGAGGCCCUUAGGCAGCAAGAACCUCUGAAACGUCGGUAAACUUGUGCCAGAGUACGUGACGCAACAUCCCAGAAGACAAGACAUCUUCGAACAUAAGUAAGUUCGCUCUUGUGAGGACGGAAACAAUCCGGUGAGAGAGAGUGAAUGAACCUAACCUGUAACAGAGGUCAUGUUGGAGAAGGGGAAAUCCCAGGCUUGCCUGAGACGUCUAAUUUCCUUGUCAUGGACAGCUGCUUGGAGAAAAAUAGUGAUGACUUUUACAGUGGGAAUGCGCUCGUGGAAACGUGUGAAUUCUUUUAUUAAUUCUUGUCCAGUGAUUCAAAUGCGAGGAGGUUUACGAGGCCGUUAGAUUGCGUUCGAAAAUGAAAUCUUGCGUGUUCUGAAGGAGCGUAGCUUUCUGACUGGCAGUGAGCAGCCAGUUUUGAAGAAGAAAUGACAUCACGCCAUUAUCGGUCGAGGACAACUGCUGAACUUCCAAAUUUGAACAGUUACUGCAGUGACCUGUAUACAACAGGUCGACAGCGUGAGUCAUUUGCUUGCUGUCUCGGUACGUAACCUUUUCGUCCGAUAUCCGGCCUCCCAGAAGGGUGACCAAGUUUUUAGUUGUUACCGAUUCUGGUGGCCCCAUCGCACGCUUGUGUUUGCGUGUUCGAAUCCCAUUCGGAUGUUUAUUUUCGUAUUUUCCUGCCUCCAUCGCUGGCCUGUGGUGAUAUCGCCUACAUUUCAGUAGUGAAGUUUAUUUAUUGUUGUAUCAUUUAACAGAUUUACCGCCAUUAACGUGUUAUUCUUCAAGCGCGCAAUGACAUUUCCUCCGGUUACGCCGGACUCGACCGGAAACCAAUUCCUCAACCUUGAAAGUUGGAUGCGCCGGAUGUAUGUGAGGUUGGCUCUCGUAUGAGGUAGAGGUUUCGCGUCGCGCAUCCUCCGGCUUACAUCCAUCAAUUUCUGUGCAUCUGUCCGUGUCGCAGUCGACUGAUUAGCAACAGUUUUGGCAGUGUUUACGAGGUCGGAGGUUGAAUAUCGAUCCGGAGACCGGCUGCCUCGAAUAAUAUGUUUCGUGGUUUUCCUCGGUCUCUUUUAAGAUAAUACUAGGAUAGUAGGCCUAACGUAAAUUAGGCCACGACUGUUUUUUACGUAUUAUUUCCAAUUUAUUAUCCAGUAAUUACAAUUUGACGCCA